rnacentral:lncRNA from 1 species
CUCUCUGUCUCCCUGACUCUCUCUCUGUGUCAGAUUUGCUACCCUGUGAAUUGCCCCCCCCCCAGAAUAACAAGUCAUAAAGAUUGUCUCCAGGUGAAGAAUUUAUUUAUUCACAUCUAUGAAACUAUGUCUUCUCAUUGAACAAGUAAAAUAAUAAUUGCUUACAUUUAUAUGGUGAUUUAAAUGUGUAACAUUCUUUCGGUGAGAAUAAUUAAGUGCUCACAUUCAUAGAGCACUUAAAAGUUUGCAAAGAACUUUGUAUAAAUUAAUUAUUGCAUUUGCUCUUCACAAUAACCCAGUGAGGUGGGUGCAAAUGAGAUCCCUGCUUCUACUAAUGGCCCUCCUUGCCUUAGGACUGAAACCUGGAACCACAUAUGGACAAUGCAACAGAGCUCUGCUCCCAAUGUCAACAGAGGGUCUUUUGCAAUCUCUGUCUAACCCCCUUAGAUGUGUGGUUAAGAGUUCUGGAAGUCAGUACUUCUGAUUUAGUGUACCUCCCCCAUGCCUGUUUAUGACUCACCAUGACUUAGCCUACACUAAACUGUGUUCCAUGUCACUCCACAGAGACUGAUCUUUGCAGCAGGUCUUCAAAGAUUUCUUGGAAUGGAAAAUUGUUUCACCCCAUCCUUUCGUUGGUUCUGUGACAUCAGAAUUCAUUUUGCAGUAUAAUUUAAUGUUGCUUGGAGAGGAAUUUUGGGUAGUUCAGGUGUGAUUGUACUCUGCCUUUUUUUUCACUUCUGCACUCUUAUGUUUGAAACACUGGUGCUUAUGUUUAUACUAUAUACUUAGAUGCUUUGAAAUUACCCAAUGCUAAUUUAUCUUUGCAAGGAACUUCAAAGAGUUACACAAUGGAAGGAAAUGUAACCUAAAAAUCCAAAGAUCAUUGAUAUGGAACUUUCUCCUCAUUGCUGAAGAUAACAUCCCAUAAAUCUUCAGUUUCUUCAGGCAGUUGCUUUAAGGUACUUCUGGUUUCCAGCUUUAAUAGAAAAUAGAGACAAUGCCAAACCCAAGAAGCCAACAUGAGAGGGUUUAGUAGCCUCCACAAUGUCAAUAUUCCCAACUUGCUACACUACAAACUCUGGGUAAUUUCCCCUUGGUCAAGACCUAGCAUUUUCUUUUUCUUAGUUGUUAUCUCACUCAAAUGAAAG